GAUGAACGCUGGCGGCGUGCCUAAUACAUGCAAGUCGAGCGAACAGACGAGGAGCUUGCUCCUCUGACGUUAGCGGCGGACGGGUGAGUAACACGUGGAUAACCUACCUAUAAGACUGGGAUAACUUCGGGAAACCGGAGCUAAUACCGGAUAAUAUAUUGAACCGCAUUGUUCAAUAGUGAAAGACGGUUUUGCUGUCACUUAUAGAUGGAUCCGCGCCGCAUUAGCUAGUUGGUAAGGUAACGGCUUACCAAGGCGACGAUGCGUAGCCGACCUGAGAGGGUGAUCGGCCACACUGGAACUGAGACACGGUCCAGACUCCUACGGGAGGCAGCAGUAGGGAAUCUUCCGCAAUGGGCGAAAGCCUGACGGAGCAACGCCGCGUGAGUGAUGAAGGUCUUAGGAUCGUAAAACUCUGUUAUUAGGGAAGAACAAAUGUGUAAGUAACUAUGCACGUCUUGACGGUACCUAAUCAGAAAGCCACGGCUAACUACGUG
rnacentral:rRNA from 1 species